rnacentral:misc_RNA from 1 species
GAUGAAGAACGUAGCGAAAUGCGAUAAGUAAUGUGAAUUGCAGAAUUUAGUGAAUCAUCGAAUCUUUGAACGCACAUUGCGCCCGCCAGUAUUCUGGCGGGCAUGCCUGUUCGAGCGUCAUUACAACCCUCAGGCCCCCGGGCCUGGCGUUGGGGAUCGGCGGAGCCCCCCGUGGGCACACGCCGUCCCCCAAAUACAGUGGCGGUCCCGCCGCAGCUUCCAUCGCGUAGUAGCUAACACCUCGCGACUGGAGAGCGGCGCGGCCACGCCGUAAAACACCCAACUCUUCUGAAGUUGACCUCGAAUCAGGUAGGAAUACCCGCUGAACUUAAGCAUAUCAAUAAGCGGAGGA